AUGGUAGGCACUACUGACAGUGAGGCACAGACAACAACUACUGUCAACACUGAAGCACAUCUCUUAAUUGCCCAGCAGCGCAUGAAGAAAUAUGCAGAUCGCAAGCGAGUCGGAAGGACUCUCGCAGUAGGUGACAUGGCUUACUUGAAGCUUCAGCCAUAUCGUCUGAAUGCUUUUGGCCUUCGCUCUCACAUGAAGCUGCAAAAGAAGUUCUACGGACCAUUUCGAGUACUGUAUCAUGUGGGCAGUGUGGCAUAUCACCUGCAGCUGCAAACGUGGGUAUCCACCCAGUGUUCCACAUUAGCCAGCUGA
rnacentral:rRNA from 1 species